GAUGAACGCUGGCGGCGUGCUUAACACAUGCAAGUCGAACGGAAAGGCUCCUGCUUGCAGGGGUACUCGAGUGGCGAACGGGUGAGUAACACGUGGGUGAUCUGCCCUGCACUUCGGGAUAAGCCUGGGAAACUGGGUCUAAUACCGGAUAGGACGAUGGUUUGGAGGCAAUGGGGGAAAGUUUUUUCGGUGUGGGAUGAGCUCGCGGCCUAUCAGCUUGUUGGUGGGGUAAUGGCCUACCAAGGCGUCGACGGGUAGCCGGCCUGAGAGGGUGUACGGCCACAUUGGGACUGAGAUACGGCCCAGACUCCUACGGGAGGCAGCAGUGGGGAAUAUUGCACAAUGGGCGCAAGCCUGAUGCAGCGACGCCGCGUGGGGGAUGACGGCCUUCGGGUUGUAAACUCCUUUCGCUAGGGACGAAGCGCAAGUGACGGUACCUGGAGAAGAAGCACCGGCUAACUACGUG
rnacentral:rRNA from 1 species